AUCCAACUGACGAGUCCCGAAUGGGACAAAACGUGCGUCCUGGAU
rnacentral:hammerhead_ribozyme from 1 species